rnacentral:rRNA from 1 species
AAUAGAUACCCGGGUAGUCCAUGCCGUAAACGUUGGGCACUAGGUGUGGGGGACAUUCCACGUUUUCCGCGCCGUAGCUAACGCAUUAAGUGCCCCGCCUGGGGAGUACGGCCGCAAGGCUAAAACUCAAAGGAAUUGACGGGGGCCCGCACAAGCGGCGGAGCAUGCGGAUUAAUUCGAUGCAACGCGAAGAACCUUACCAAGGCUUGACAUGUGCCAGACCGCCUCAGAGAUGGGGUUUCCCUUCGGGGCUGGUUCACAGGUGGUGCAUGGUUGUCGUCAGCUCGUGUCGUGAGAUGUUGGGUUAAGUCCCGCAACGAGCGCAACCCUCGUUCCAUGUUGCCAGCACGUAGUGGUGGGGACUCAUGGGAGACUGCCGGGGUCAACUCGGAGGAAGGUGGGGAUGACGUCAAAUCAUCAUGCCCCUUAUGUCUUGGGCUUCACGCAUGCUACAAUGGCCGGUACAAUGGGUUGCGAUACUGUGAGGUGGAGCUAAUCCCUAAAAGCCGGUCUCAGUUCGGAUUGGGGU